rnacentral:rRNA from 1 species
AAGCGGGGGAUAACACCUGGAAACAGAUGCUAAUACCGCAUAACAACUUGGACCGCAUGGUCCGAGCUUGAAAGAUGGCUUCGGCUAUCACUUUUGGAUGGUCCCGCGGCGUAUUAGCUAGAUGGUGGGGUAACGGCUCACCAUGGCAAUGAUACGUAGCCGACCUGAGAGGGUAAUCGGCCACAUUGGGACUGAGACACGGCCCAAACUCCUACGGGAGGCAGCAGUAGGGAAUCUUCCACAAUGGACGAAAGUCUGAUGGAGCAACGCCGCGUGAGUGAAGAAGGGUUUCGGCUCGUAAAACUCUGUUGUUAAAGAAGAACAUAUCUGAGAGUAACUGUUCAGGUAUUGACGGUAUUUAACCAGAAAGCCACGGCUAACUACGUGCCAGCAGCCGCGGUAAUACGUAGGUGGCAAGCGUUGUCCGG